GACGAACGCUGGCGGCGUGCCUAACACAUGCAAGUCGAACGGACUUACAUUGAAGCCUAGCGAUAUGUAAGUUAGUGGCGGACGGGUGAGUAACGCGUGGGUAACCUGCCUUGUACUGGGGGACAACAGUUGGAAACGACUGCUAAUACCGCAUAAGCGCACAGCUUCGCAUGAAGCAGUGUGAAAAACUCCGGUGGUACAAGAUGGACCCGCGUCUGAUUAGCUGGUUGGUGAGGUAAACGGCCCACCAAGGCGACGAUCAGUAGCCGGCCUGAGAGGGUGAACGGCCACAUUGGGACUGAGACACGGCCCAAAACUCCUACGGGAGGCAGCAGUGGGAAUAUUGCACAAUGGGGGAAACCCUGAUGCAGCAACGCCGCGUGAAGUGAAGAAGUAUUUCGGGUAUGUAAAAGCUCUAUCAGCAGGAAAG
rnacentral:rRNA from 1 species